AAGAAAUAACAAUUGGAAGAUGGCAGGCAUAAGAGAAACCAGGAUGAAGAGCAGCCCUCAUGAUGGGGAUAGUGGCCUUGAAGGAGAAGAGGAGGAGAGAGCAAAUGGAAAGGCUAUGUGAGGACAUAGCAAGAAAUGGCCGUCUGCAAGCCAGGAAGAGAGCUCUCGCCAGGAACCAAAUCAGCCUAUAUCUUGAUCUUAGACGUUCAGCCUCCAGAACUGCACUUGAGAUAAUGCAUAAAUU